rnacentral:lncRNA from 1 species
AGAGGAUCAUGGGGACGGAAAAGGACACUGCAGCGGGUAUGAGCUGGGAGGCCCACACAGCAUCAGGCCAAGGCAGUGGGGCUGAGGACCAAAAGGAGAAGACGGGGUGGAGAAAGAUGACCGCCAGUAAGAGGCAAUCACAGAAGUCUGCACUUGUCCUGGGAUGCUUCUCCACCGACCCUGCAUGCGUCACACUCAGUGCUACUUCCUUGCUUUGGCUCACACGGAUCAACCGAUCAACCAUAUCCAGACGGCUGUUUUACCUCCCUCACACCUCUUUAAAUCCCUCUCAACUUCAAAGGUGGCACUUCUAAGUGUGAUAUCACACCAAGGGAGGAAUGGUGAAGCCUGCUGAGGAAGCCGACCAGCCUUAGUAAGAUGGCGGCUCCCAAGGCAGCACGUCAGCCUAAGGUGAGCAAAAGGUUGGCCCAUCUCCGAUUUGUGCUUUCUGGGAUCUGGCAGGACCUUGGGAGCUAAAAGCUCAGAUCUCCAUCUUGCUAUUCUCAGAAAGGCCAAAAGGCAGAAAAGGACACAGCCUCUGGGAGCCUCCUCUGACUUGUCUACCUCCUCCCUGCCUGGAAGUCCUCCCCCUUAAGUCCUUCCUCUUCCUGCAGCAGGCCUUCCUGCUGUGCUCUCCGCCUGUGAGAAACGCAAACCAACGCUCGAGAGGCCUCGGCGCUGAAGAGCCAACACUGUCCACACUAUGAAAUCUCUUCUUUCCCCGACUCUGCUUCUCUCCAGAGAGGGUUGGGGUGUGUUCUGGCUCAGGUCACAGGGCAAACUUUCUCUGGAAGAGCCUAGAAAAGAAGAAGUGAGUUAUGGGGCUUCAGAGUUAAGUUACACAGAAAACUCCCCUGAGAAAACAGCUGGGAGUUUUCAAAGGGGAGUCCAGUG